GAAUACCUGUUCGUAGAGAGAAAGCCUGCCUGUUAAUGUAUGAACUUCACCUCCUGUGUUGUCAAUCUUUUAUCACACCUCCGAAAACAAUGGCUUUUCACUCAACCUUUCAUUGAGCUUUCCACACCACUGCUCAAAGUUGUCAAGAAAACGUAAUAAAGGAGCAAGACGCUCAGCUUCCUGGCUCAUGAAAUUGA